UUUUAAACAUUUAUAAAAUAAAAUUUAAUUUUACAAUGAAAAUGUAAUGUUUUUUUUAAACUAUAUAAAAUAGAAAU
rnacentral:tRNA from 1 species